ACGGGAGGCAGCAGUGGGGAAUAUUGCACAAUGGGGGAAACCCUGAUGCAGCAACGCCGCGUGAGUGAAGAAGUAUUUCGGUAUGUAAAGCUCUAUCAGCAGGAAAGAAAAUGACGGUACCUGACUAAGAAGCCCCGGCUAACUACGUGCCAGCAGCCGCGGUAAUACGUAGGGGGCAAGCGUUGUCCGGAAUGAUUGGGCGUAAAGGGAGUGUAGGCGGGACUGUAAGUCAGAUGUGAAAUAUGCCGGCUCAACUGGCAGACUGCAUUUGAAACUGCGGUUCUUGAGUGAAGUAGAGGUAAGCGGAAUUCCUAGUGUAGCGGUGAAAUGCGUAGAUAUUAGGAGGAACAUCAGUGGCGAGGGCGGCUUACUGGGCUUUAACUGACGCUGAGGCUCGAAAGCGUGGGGAGCAAACAGGAUUAGAUACCCUGGUA
rnacentral:rRNA from 1 species